UACGUAGGGGCAAGCGUUGUCCAGAUUUAUUGGGCGUAAAGAGCGUGUAGGCGGCCUGAAAGGUCAGCUGUGAAAACUCGAGGCUCAACCUCGAGACGUCGGUUGAAACCAUCUGGCUAGAGUCCGGAAGAGGAGUGUGGAAUUCCCGGUGUAGCGGUGAAAUGCGCAGAUAUCGGGAAGAACACCCGUGGCGAAGGCGGCACUCUGGGACGGUACUGACGCUGAGACGGCGAAAAGCGUGGGGAGCGAACAGG
rnacentral:rRNA from 1 species